GACGAACGCUGGCGGCGUACUUAACACAUGCAAGUCGAACGGAAAGGCCCUGCUUUUGUGGGGUGCUCGAGUGGCGAACGGGUGAGUAACACGUGAGUAACCUGCCCUUGACUUUGGGAUAACUUCAGGAAACUGGGGCUAAUACCGGAUAGGAGCUCCUGCUGCAUGGUGGGGGUUGGAAAGUUUCGGCGGUUGGGGAUGGACUCGCGGCUUAUCAGCUUGUUGGUGGGGUAGUGGCUUACCAAGGCUUUGACGGGUAGCCGGCCUGAGAGGGUGACCGGCCACAUUGGGACUGAGAUACGGCCCAGACUCCUACGGGAGGCAGCAGUGGGGAAUAUUGCACAAUGGGCGGAAGCCUGAUGCAGCAACGCCGCGUGCGGGAUGACGGCCUUCGGGUUGUAAACCGCUUUCGCCUGUGACGAAGCGUGAGUGACGGUAAUGGGUAAAGAAGCACCGGCUAACUACGUGCCAGCAGCCGCGGUGAUACGUAGGGUGCGAGCGUUGUCCGGAUUUAUUGGGCGUAAAGGGCUCGUAGGUGGUUGAUCGCGUCGGAAGUGUAAUCUUGGGGCUUAACCCUGAGCGUGCUUUCGAUACGGGUUGACUUGAGGAAGGUAGGGGAGAAUGGAAUUCCUGGUGGAGCGGUGGAAUGCGCAGAUAUCAGGAGGAACACCAGUGGCGAAGGCGGUUCUCUGGGCCUUUCCUGACGCUGAGGAGCGAAAGCGUGGGGAGCGAACAGGCUUAGAUACCCUGGUAGUCCACGCUGUAAACGGUGGGUACUAGGUGUGGGGUCCAUUCCACGGGUUCCGUGCCGUAGCUAACGCUUUAAGUACCCCGCCUGGGGAGUACGGCCGCAAGGCUAAAACUCAAAGGAAUUGACGGGGCCCCGCACAAGCGGCGGAGCAUGCGGAUUAAUUCGAUGCAACGCGUAGAACCUUACCUGGGUUUGACAUGGAUCGGGAGUGCUCAGAGAUGGGUGUGCCUCUUUUGGGGUCGGUUCACAGGUGGUGCAUGGCUGUCGUCAGCUCGUGUCGUGAGAUGUUGGGUUAAGUCCCGCAACGAGCGCAACCCUUGUUCACUGUUGCCAGCACGUUAUGGUGGGGACUCAGUGGAGACCGCCGGGGUCAACUCGGAGGAAGGUGGGGAUGACGUCAAGUCAUCAUGUCCCUUAUGUCCAGGGCUUCACGCAUGCUACAAUGGCUGGUACAGAGAGUGGCGAGCCUGUGAGGGUGAGCGAAUCUCGGAAAGCCGGUCUCAGUUCGGAUUGGGGUCUGCAACUCGACCUCAUGAAGUCGGAGUCGCUAGUAAUCGCAGAUCAGCAACGCUGCGGUGAAUACGUUCCCGGGGCU
rnacentral:rRNA from 1 species